rnacentral:misc_RNA from 1 species
AACUGAUACUACCUGCGGGAACCUGCGGAGGGAUCAUUAACAAAUCAUUUGUAUGGGAAACCAUACAUAUUUACCCCAAGCCUAGGAUGUGCUUCGGCGCAACACUGGGCUUUGGUUGGGCUGCGCUCAUUCGUGAGGGCGGCUCCGGCAUGUAUGCUUCGGUGUACUAGCCACAUAGACGCUUGUAUGUUUGACAGUUUUAGUUGCUUUAAAAAUGACAACUUUCAGCAAUGGAUCUCU